rnacentral:sRNA from 1 species
UUUUAUUAUUCGAUCGAAGAGUCAUGUAAGAGGUUCGGAAAAGGCGUUCACACGCAUUAUACACACAACAAAAAUAUAAAAAAAAAAUUAAAGAAAAUCCAAAAAAAAGCAAAUUUGAAUUCAAGUAAAUAGUGAUCUGUUAUAGUUAUUAUCAAUUAAAUGUAAUUUUUAAUAAGUGAUAACAAGCAAAUCAAAUUCAAUCCAUCAACAACGCCAAGUCACAUUCAUAUGUUUGUGCCCAUCAUCUCCAUAGCAGAAAGAUAUUUUUAGUAUAUGCAUAUAUGUCUGUGCGUGUGCGUAUGUAUCCAUAAAAAGAAAAUAAAAGCAAAAAUAGUACAACGAGUGAAGCUUUCGAAUCCAUGAAAAAAUUCAUUAACAAUCUUAAGUUCAGCUGAAAAAAACUUGGCCAAUAAACGGCAUAAAAUUCGUGCUAAAUCGACUGGAAACAGGCGUUGAAAAUAUUUUCGAUAAAACAUUUCGACGACUGUGUGUAUCCAAGUAGUGUUCCGACCGAGGUGUUGGCCAACCAACCGAAAAUAAAUUCUGGGACCCAACAGUCCUCCGCCAAACUCCAUUAAAAUUGACCAACCUCGGGUGGCGUGAGCACUGAAAUCCAAUCAUUUCCAGUGUGUGCGUGCGUGUGUUGUACAAAUCAAAAUAUACAUACAAAUAUAUAUGCAAUAUUGACAGCAAUCAUUAUUAAUGCAAUACUUAUUUCGCUUCAACAGAAAUUCAGUGUGAUUUUAUUGUUGUUCGGUACCUCCAAAUACAACAGAAUUGAGGUUGAGAAACAAUUUCUAUGCACCAAAUCAGAAGAAAAUAAUAGACCCAACAUUUCCGAAGUGUAUGUGUGUGUGUAAUAAUACCAACAAAAAGCAAACGCAAAGCAAGAAAAAAAUACAAAUUUACACAUCUUUUCGUGUCGAGUGCGGGAUAAACACUUUGUAACAAUUUUUUUAAGAAAAUUCCCUCAAGUUUCGUAAAUUUUUUGUGAUAUUCGAAAAAUUUCCCUCUACGUAACGUCGAAGGUGAUUUCUUUAAUUUUUUCUUAAUUCGACACGACACAACAGCAACAACAAGCGCUAUAGUCAUCUUACUUUGCUCUGCUCUGAGAAUUUGUUACAAAUUUACAAGAGAGAAAGAGAUAGCAAGUGUUUGUUUCGAUAAACGACGAUAUAUAGCGAACUUGGCAAAAGAAAUUAAAAAAUUAAGAAAAAAAAAUGAUUAAAAACUUCAAACCACCACCAAACUAAAAACAACGACUGGGAAGCUAAAUGGUUUACAAAGUUCCAAGACCACAAAUAAAUACACAUUAGUAGAGAGCAACGGCAUCAAGUACCAUCAGGAAGCAGAAGAAGAUAGAUAAGAUUUAAAGAAGAAGAAUAAAUCUAUGACGUUAAGCCAUAAAGAGGUUAACGAGACGCUAACAUCUAACAAACCCUUCCCUCCUUAAAGCCAGCAAAAGUGAAGGAAAAGAGAUAGAAGCGAUCCGAAUUCCGGUCGGAAGGAGACGAAGUCUGAAAAAGAAGAAGCGUUGACUCUGCAAACAUAUUGAAUAAGAAGGAAAUUCAAAAA